GCCAGCGGCGACAGCUCGUUGAAUUUACCAGUUCUCGAUGGAUCACUAAAGUUGCGCAACGUUUCCCGUGGUUUGUACCCGAAUGGGUGAUCAAUGACCAUCUGCACAAUCGCGUGCUGCUGGCU
rnacentral:rRNA from 1 species